GCCACCAUAGCUCAGUGGUUAGAGCGCUGGUCUUGUAAUCCAGGGGUCGUGAGUUCUAUCCUCACUGCUGGCU